rnacentral:rRNA from 1 species
GAUGAACGCUGGCGGCGUGCCUAAUACAUGCAAGUCGAGCGAACAGACGAGGAGCUUGCUCCUCUGACGUUAGCGGCGGACGGGUGAGUAACACGUGGAUAACCUACCUAUAAGACUGGGAUAACUUCGGGAAACCGGAGCUAAUACCGGAUAACAUGUUGAACCGCAUGGUUCAACAGUGAAAGACGGUCUUGCUGUCACUUAUAGAUGGAUCCGCGCCGCAUUAGCUAGUUGGUAAGGUAACGGCUUACCAAGGCAACGAUGCGUAGCCGACCUGAGAGGGUGAUCGGCCACACUGGAACUGAGACACGGUCCAGACUCCUACGGGAGGCAGCAGUAGGGAAUCUUCCGCAAUGGGCGAAAGCCUGACGGAGCAACGCCGCGUGAGUGAAGAAGGUCUUCGGAUCGUAAAACUCUGUUAUUAGGGAAGAACAAAUGUGUAAGUAACUAUGCACGUCUGGACGGUACCUAAUCAGAAAGCCACGGCUAACUACGG